UUUCAGGGAUUCUUAGAAUUGGUCUCUGUAUGAAGAGUGUUCAACAAGGGUGAUAAACCACUUGUUUGAACUUAGGCUAAAGAUAAGGUUUUAACCACAUGAACGGAAGAUAGUUCUAUCAUUCAUGGAAGAAUUAUUUGCGAAAUACAGAAAAGAAAAGUUCAUUCUUUCAAAUAUUUUGUCCCAUGAAUCUGGAUGUUACAGACAAAGAAAUACGAAAAGGA
rnacentral:lncRNA from 1 species